rnacentral:rRNA from 1 species
GAUGAACGCUGGCGGCGUGCCUAAUACAUGCAAGUCGAGCGAACAGACGAGGAGCUUGCUCCUCUGACGUUAGCGGCGGACGGGUGAGUAACACGUGGAUAACCUACCUAUAAGACUGGGAUAACUUCGGGAAACCGGAGCUAAUACCGGAUAAUAUAUUGAACCGCAUGGUUCAAUAGUGAAAGACGGUUUUGCUGUCACUUAUAGAUGGAUCCGCGCCGCAUUAGCUAGUUGGUAAGGUAACGGCUUACCAAGGCAACGAUGCGUAGCCGACCUGAGAGGGUGAUCGGCCACACUGGAGCUGAGACACGGUCCAGACUCCUACGGGAGGCAGCAGUAGGGAAUCUUCCGCAAUGGGCGAAAGCUUGACGGAGCAACGCCGCGUGAGUUAUGAAGGUCUUCGGAUCGUAAAACUCUGUUAUUAGGUAAGAACAAAUGUGUAAGUAACUAUGCACGUCUUGACGGUACCUAAUCAGAAAGCCACGGCUAACUACGUG